UGGUGGCAGUGGGGAGGAUUAAGUGUCAGUUGCCUCCUUGUCAUCACCAGGGGUUGUACACCUUGAAGUUUCAGGCCACCAGCUUGCAUACAUACCUACGUGCGCGGGUUUCGUCUCCUCGCUGCACAGAUCCAAUAAAGCUCCAAACAAGGCGGAAAUAUGACAGACGCGCGACGUUAGACAAGCGGAAUCUCAGACGAAAGCUCCCGGCCACCAUUCAAUGUAAAUGUGGGCACCCGUUAUCAUGUUUUAUGGAUCAACGCUCUUGGCCAGACUCCCGACUUGAGUGCGACUUCUACUACUAAACUUGUCCUGCCUGUCGGAAUUUUCUACCUUAAUCCUUGUUGCAGGACUCGCCAUAAAUUGACUCUCCAGAAUGACAGUUGUGUAUAUGAAAAAAAAUAACCCUCGGUAUUGAUGAUGUUAUCGUUCCUUGGAGCUCCGAACAUGGAAUCGAAAUAAUGGCAUCAAAGGCAUCCCGCCCCAGACACCUUGUUAAUGUGUUGACGUCUGUGGCGCAUCACGGGGCUUCAAGGAUCACCCGGUAGUGGGCCUUGACUGGUGAUAAGCAGCGUUUUGGUGGGGAUAUGAACUGAUCACUCCAGAGAAGACAAUGUAACCGACAUGCCUCCUGGACUACUGAACAUGUUGCUGCUACAGACACCGAGGUGGAGGCAGUGCAGUGCUUUGUGAUGGUUACUAAUGGAUAAUGCUCAGCCUGGACUUAAUCUUUAUUUUUCACUCACAAAGGAUCAAUAGUAAAAUAAAUCUUUAAACAUUAAGUACAUACCUCUCACCUGUUUACAGAUCACAUUUUAGUGUUAAUUCUUUAUAUAAAAUAAGUUAUGUACAUAUUAAUAUGUAUUUCAAAAAUUUUAAAAAAAUAUAGUCUACAGUAUGAAAAGUAUAUUUGUAACAUGCAUAACUUGUGUGUGUGUGUGUGUGUGUGUGUGUGUGUGUGUGUGUGUGUGUGUGUGUGUGUGUGUGUGUGUGUGU